CCUAGAGGAGUGGCUUUCGGAGCUAACGCGUUAAAUCGACCGCCUGGGGAGUACGGCCGCAAGGUUAAAACUCAAAUGAAUUGACGGGGGCCCGCACAAGCGGUGGAGCAUGUGGUUUAAUUCGAUGCAACGCGAAGAACCUUACCUACUCUUGACAUCCAGAGAAUUUAGCAGAGAUGCUUUAGUGCCUUCGGGAACUCUGAGACAGGUGCUGCAUGGCUGUCGUCAGCUCGUGUUGUGAAAUGUUGGGUUAAGUCCCGCAACGAGCGCAACCCUUAUCCUUUGUUGCCAGCGAUUCGGUCGGGAACUCAAAGGAGACUGCCGGUGAUAAACCGGAGGAAGGUGGGGAUGACGUCAAGUCAUCAUGGCCCUUACGAGUAGGGCUACACACGUGCUACAAUGGCGUAUACAAAGAGAAGCGACCUCGCGAGAGCAAGCGGAACU
rnacentral:rRNA from 1 species